rnacentral:tRNA from 1 species
UGGCUCAGUGGUUAAGAGCACUGGCUACUCUUCCAGAGGACCUGGGUUCAAUUCCCAG